rnacentral:ncRNA from 1 species
UGCAGCAGCAGGAAUGCGGCUCAGUACGAGAGGAACCGCAGGUUCAGACAUGUGGUGUCUGCGCUUGGCCGCGGAGCCGGCAGUGUGAAGACACCAUCUGUAGGAUUAUGACUGAACGCCUCUGUCAGAAUCCCCACUAAAAGGUGCA